rnacentral:rRNA from 1 species
GAUGAACGCUGGCGACGUGCCUAAUACAUGCAAGUCGAGCGAACGGACGAGAAGCUUGCUUCUCUGAUGUUAGCGGCGGACGGGUGAGUAACACGUGGAUAACCUACCUAUAAGACUGGGAUAACUUCGGGAAACCGGAGCUAAUACCGGAUAAUAUUUUGAACCGCAUGGUUCAAAAGUGAAAGACGGUCUUGCUGUCACUUAUAGAUGGAUCCGCGCUGCAUUAGCUAGUUGGUAAGGUAACGGCUUACCAAGGCAACGAUGCAUAGCCGACCUGAGAGGGUGAUCGGCCACACUGGAACUGAGGCACGGUCCAGACUCCUACGGGAGGCAGCAGUAGGGAAUCUUCCGCAAUGGGCGAAAGCCUGACGGAGCAACGCCGCGUGAGUGAUGAAGGUCUUCGGAUCGUAAAACUCUGUUAUUAGGGAAGAACAUAUGUGUAAGUAACUGUGCACAUCUUGACGGUACCUAAUCAGAAAGCCACGGCUAACUACGUG